ACGAACGCUGGCGGCGUGCUUAACACAUGCAAGUCGAACGGAAAGGCCUUUUCGGAGGUACUCGAGUGGCGAACGGGUGAGUAACACGUGGGUGAUCUGCCCUGCACUCUGGGAUAAGCCUGGGAAACUGGGUCUAAUACCGGAUAGGACCGCACUUUAGUGUGUGUGGUGGAAAGUUUUUUCGGUGUAGGAUGAGCCCGCGGCCUAUCAGCUUGUUGGUGGGGUAAUGGCCUACCAAGGCGGCGACGGGUAGCCGGACUGAGAGGUUGGUCGGCCACAUUGGGACUGAGAUACGGCCCAGACUCCUACGGGAGGCAGCAGUGGGGAAUAUUGCACAAUGGGCGCAAGCCUGAUGCAGCGACGCCGCGUGGGGGAUGACGGCCUUCGGGUUGUAAACUCCUUUCGCCAGGGACGAAGCGUUUUGUGACGGUACCUGGAGAAGAAGCACCGGCUAACUACGUGCCAGCAGCCGCGGUAAUACGUAGGGUGCAAGCGUUGUCCGGAAUUACUGGGCGUAAAGAGCUCGUAGGUGGUUUGUCACGUCGUCUGUGAAAUUCCACAGCUUAACUGUGGGCGUGCAGGCGAUACGGGCUGACUUGAGUACUGUAGGGGUAACUGGAAUUCCUGGUGUAGCGGUGAAAUGCGCAGAUAUCAGGAGGACACCGAUGGCGAAGGCAGGUUACUGGGCAGUUACUGACGCU
rnacentral:rRNA from 1 species